AUUGAACGCUGGCGGCAUGCCUUACACAUGCAAGUCGAACGGCAGCACGGGAGCAAUCCUGGUGGCGAGUGGCGAACGGGUGAGUAGUAUAUCGGAACGUGCCCAGUAGUGGGGGAUAACUGCUCGAAAGAGCAGCUAUUACCGCAUACGACCUGAGGGUGAAAGGGGGGGAUCGCAAGACCUCUCGCUAUUGGAGCGGCCGAUAUCAGAUUAGCUAGUUGGUGGGGUAAAGGCCUACCAAGGCAACGAUCUGUAGUUGGUCUGAGAGGACGACCAGCCACACUGGGACUGAGACACGGCCCAGACUCCUACGGGAGGCAGCAGUGGGGAAUUUUGGACAAUGGGCGCAAGCCUGAUCCAGCAAUGCCGCGUGCAGGAAGAAGGCCUUCGGGUUGUAAACUGCUUUUGUCAGGGAAGAAAUCCUCUAGGUUAAUACCCUUGGGGGGAUGACGGUACCUGAAGAAUAAGCACCGGCUAACUACGUGCCAGCAGCCGCAGUAACAC
rnacentral:rRNA from 1 species